GAAAUGCGAUAAUUAAUGUGAAUUGCAGAAUUCAGUGAAUCAUCGAGUCUUUGAACGCACAUUGCGCCCCCUGGUAUUCCGGGGGGCAUGCCUGUCCGAGCGUCAUUGCUGCCCUCAAGCACGGCUUGUGUGUUGGGCUUCCGUCCCUGGCAACGGGGACGGGCCCAAAAGGCAGUGGCGGCACCAUGUCUGGUCCUCGAGCGUAUGGGGCUUUGUCACCCGCUCCCGUAGGUCCAGCUGGCAGCUAGCCUCGCAACCAAUCUUUUUAACCAGGUUGACCUCGGAUCAGGUAGGGAUACCCGCUGAACUGAAG
rnacentral:misc_RNA from 1 species